rnacentral:rRNA from 1 species
AACGAACGCUGGCGGCAUGCCUAACACAUGCAAGUCGAACGAGACCUUCGGGUCUAGUGGCGCACGGGUGCGUAACGCGUGGGAACCUGCCCUUAGGUUCGGAAUAACUCCCCGAAAGGGGUGCUAAUACCGGAUAAUGUCUUCGGACCAAAGAUUUAUCGCCUUUGGAUGGGCCCGCGUUGGAUUAGCUAGUUGGUAGGGUAAAAGCCUACCAAGGCGACGAUCCAUAGCUGGUCUGAGAGGAUGAUCAGCCACACUGGGACUGAGACACGGCCCAGACCUCCAAGGGAGGGCGGCGGGGGGAAUAUUGGACAAUGGGCGAAAGCCUGAUCCAGCCAUGCCGCGUGAGUGAUGAAGGCCUUAGGGUUGUAAAGCUCUUUUACCCGGGAUGAUAAUGACAGUACCGGGAGAAUAAGCUCCGGCUAACUCCGUG